GGGAAGAUGGCUCAGUGGUAGAGUGCUUGCCUUGCAUGCAUGAGGUCCUAGGUUCAAUUCCUCAACACU
rnacentral:tRNA from 1 species